GAAGUAGCACCAACAAGUCUGACAUCAGCUUUGUUCCCAAAACCGUAAGACAAUAAAACAGAUAGAUAGAUAAAUAUGAAAUGAACAUUUCUGAUGUUCGAUAGACACUGAACAUUUCUUUUGUUUUCUGCAUUCUAGCUUUGGGGAAAACAUCUCACCAACAGUCCACAACACACUGAGAAGUAGAAGGGAACACUGACAAAAAGACGACUCUCAAGGACUUCAUAGACUUUAACAUGAGCAUCCCAGAGCUGAAUGGGAUUAAACGACUGGGGAGGAAUAAAUUAAAUGUCUCUGUGCAAUACCUGCUUUGCAUUCAGAUCUACUGUCUGUCUUUCAUUUCUGACAAAUUAGUCUUUCCCAGACUUGUUAGUGUUGUCAUUUGAAAAAAAAAAAAAAAGAGGACCACAAAAAAAAACAUGUAAAUCCCUUUUCUUGACAGUGGAUAAAAAUAACCUUUCAUAAUCAGUCACUGAGAUGCACAGUGGUCACCUUAGUGUGCUGCCAUUUGGGAUACUGCUAUACAAACCCCUGACUGAGAGCACCACCUGCUCUAUAAGCCUUUUUCCUUUACGCUUCUCCUGUGACUUUGGCUCUAAUCACCAACCCCCACUGAACACAGGAAAAGGAGAUGACAGUCACAUGUUUCAAGGCUCUGACUCGGCACAUUCAUAUGAAAGGAGACACAGUGGAGUCAGCUGGAACUCUAUCUGUGCAACCGGAUGGCAUGAUAGUUCUAGUGGCCAUUGCAGAAAGGAGAAGACACUGAAGAUAUCAAUUAUUCUGCACUACAGACAGAAGCAGGGCAAUCAAUAGACAGGUUGGUUCCGAUAUGAAAUAAUUCAGUCAUACUGUACACCAGGACUGUUUAAGCGCAAGGCCUUAAAAGGAUGAGGAAAUGAUAAUCGGCUCCAGUGCUGGAGGUAAUUGCCUUGAUGAUGUGGCACUCACAGACACACUGACCUCAGCUCCUAAUCUUUAGCUCCAAAGGAAAAAGGAAGAGGAGGGGGAAAGGAGAAAGGUGUACCACAAAUGAGGAGGGAGGAAUAUGUAGAAAAGCAGAUGAGGUUAUUCAACAAAAGAAGGUGAAACAAGUAUCAUCAAGUAGAAAUGUUAUUGUAUGACAUUCUGUUUUUUAGGACACAGUUAGUUUUAAAUAAAUUGAAAUGUAUUUAUAAUUCCAGUCUUGAAUGCCAGUUGCUCAAAACAGCAUUCUAGUGACUCUAAAGAGAAACAUCUACACUGUUAGAAAAAUGGUACAAAGCUGUCAGUGAAGCAGUAAUCUAAGGUACAAAAGCUAAAAAGUACAUAUUUUUUGCCCCUAAAUGGAACAUUUUUAAA
rnacentral:lncRNA from 12 species